rnacentral:rRNA from 1 species
AACGAACGCUGGCGGCAUGCCUAACACAUGCAAGUCGAACGAACCCUUCGGGGUGAGUGGCGCACGGGUGAGUAACGCGUGGGAACCUGCCUAUCAGUACGGGACAACAUCGGGAAACUGGUGCUAAUACCGUAUACGUCCUCAGGGAGAAAGAUUUAUCGCUGAUAGAUGGGCCCGCGUUAGAUUAGCUAGUUGGUGGGGUAAUGGCCUACCAAGGCGACGAUCUAUAGCUGGUCUGAGAGGAUGAUCAGUCACACUGGAACUGAGACACGGUCCAGACUCCUACGGGAGGCAGCAGUGGGGAAUAUUGGACAAUGGGGGCAACCCUGAUCCAGCAAUGCCGCGUGAGUGAAGAAGGCCCUAGGGUUGUAAAACUCUUUCGAUAGGGAAGAUGAUGACGGUACCUAUAGAAGAAGCCCCGGCUAACUCCG